rnacentral:rRNA from 1 species
GACGAACGCUGGCGGCGUGCUUAACACAUGCAAGUCGAACGGAAAGGCCCUGCUUUUGUGGGGUGCUCGAUUGGCGAACGGGUGAGUAACACGUGAGUAACCUGCCCUUUUCUUUGGGAUAACUUCAGGAAACUGGGGCUAAUACCGGAUAGGAGCUCCUGCUGCAUGGUGGGGGUUGGAAAGUUUCGGCGGUUGGGGAUGGACUCGCGGCUUAUCAGCUUGUUGGUUGGGUAGUGGCUUACCAAGGCUUUGACGGGUAGCCGGCCUGAGAGGGUGACCGGCCACAUUGGGACUGCGAUACGGACCAGACUCCUACGGGAGGCAGCAGUGGGGAAUAUUGCACAAUGGGCGGAAGCCUGAUGCGGCAACGCCGCGUGCGGGAUGACGGCCUUCGGGUAGUAAACCGCUUUCGCCUGUGACGAAGCGUGAGUGACGGUAAUGGGUAAAGAAGCACCGGCUAACUACGUG